AUUGAACGCUGGCGGCAGGCCUAACACAUGCAAGUCGAGCGGAUGAAGGGAGCUUGCUCCUGGAUUCAGCGGCGGACGGGUGAGUAAUGCCUAGGAAUCUGCCUGGUAGUGGGGGAUAACGUCCGGAAACGGGCGCUAAUACCGCAUACGUCCUGAGGGAGAAAGUGGGGGAUCUUCGGACCUCACGCUAUCAGAUGAGCCUAGGUCGGAUUAGCUAGUUGGUGGGGUAAAGGCCUACCAAGGCGACGAUCCGUAACUGGUCUGAGAGGAUGAUCAGUCACACUGGAACUGGGACACGGUCCAGACUCCUACGGGAGGCAGCAGUGGGGAAUAUUGGACAAUGGGCGGAAGCCUGAUCCAGCCAUGCCGCGUGUGUGGAGAAGGUCUUCGGAUUGUAAAGCACUUUAAGUUGGGAGGAAGGGCAGUAAGUUAAUACCUUGCUGUUUUGACGUUACCAACAGAAUAAGCACCGGCUAACUUCGUG
rnacentral:rRNA from 1 species